GUUUCUAAAAGAAAAAUCUAUCAUUUUAGUUAGACAAAAAAAAAUCUUUUAUCAUGCUGGAAACGGCUAAAAUAAGCCUAAUAUUACAAUCAAGUAGAAAAUAUUGUGUCAUGCUAGAAAAUAGUUUUAUUAUCAUUGCAAUUAGAAGAAUAUCUUGUAUCAUGUAGGGAAAUGGUUAUAACAAAAAACCUAUUGUUAUUUAAAAAGAGGUGGAUCAAU
rnacentral:lncRNA from 1 species